rnacentral:rRNA from 1 species
GCGGCGGACGGGUGAGUAACACGUGGGCAACCUGCCCUAUAGUUGGGGAUAACUCCGGGAAACCGGAGCUAAUACCGAAUGAUACAUUUAAGCUCCUGCUUGAAUAUUGAAAGAUGGUUUCGGCUAUCGCUAUAGGAUGGGCCCGCGGCGCAUUAGCUAGUUGGUGAGGUAACGGCUCACCAAGGCGACGAUGCGUAGCCGACCUGAGAGGGUGAUCGGCCACACUGGGACUGAGACACGGCCCAGACUCCUACGGGAGGCAGCAGUAGGGAAUCUCCCACAAUGGACGAAAGUCUGAUGGAGCAACGCCGCGUGAGUGAAGAAGGUUUUCGGAUCGUAAAACUCUGUUGUAAGGGAAGAACAAGUGCAGUAGUAACUGGCUGCACCUUGACGGUACCUUAUUAGAAAGCCACGGCUAACUACGUGCCAGCAGCCGCGGUAAUACGUAGGUGGCAAGCGUUGUCCGGAUUUAUUGGGCGUAAAGCGCGCGCAGGCGGUCCUUUAAGUCUGAUGUGAAAGCCCACGGCUCAACCGUGGAGGGUCAUUGGAAACUGGAGGACUUGAGUGCAGAAGAGGAAAGUGGAAUUCCAAGUGUAGCGGUGAAAUGCGUAGAGAUUUGGAGGAACACCAGUGGCGAAGGCGACUUUCU